GACAAAGGGGGCUAGCGUUGUUCGGAAUUAUUGGGCGUAAAGCGCGCGCAGGCGGCCUCCUAAGUCCGAUGUGAAAGCCCACGGCUCAACCGUGGAGGGUCAUUGGAAACUGGGGGACUUGAGUGCAGGAGAGAAGAGUGGAAUUCCACGUGUAGCGGUGAAAUGCGUAGAGAUGUGGAGGAACACCAGUGGCGAAGGCGACUCUUUGGCCUGUAACUGACGCUGAGGCGCGAAAAGCGUGGGGAGCAAACAGG
rnacentral:rRNA from 1 species